UAUUUUCUGCUUUUUGGCUGGAGGCCUC
rnacentral:piRNA from 2 species